rnacentral:rRNA from 1 species
AACGAACGCUGGCGGCAUGCCUAACACAUGCAAGUCGAACGAAGCCUUCGGGCUUAGUGGCGCACGGGUGCGUAACACGUGGGAAUCUGCCCUUUGGUUCGGAAUAACAGUUAGAAAUGACUGCUAAUACCGGAUAAUGACGUAAGUCCAAAGAUUUAUCGCCGAAGGAUGAGCCCGCGUAGGAUUAGGUAGUUGGUGGGGGUAAUGGCCCACCAAGCCGACGAUCCUUAGCUGGUCUGAGAGGAUGAUCAGCCACACUGGGACUGAGACACGGCCCAGACUCCUACGGGAGGCAGCAGUGGGGAAUAUUGGGACAAUGGGCGAAAGCCUGAUCCAGCAAUGCCGCGUGAGUGAUGAAGGCCUUAGGUGUUAAG